rnacentral:rRNA from 1 species
UACGUAGGGGGCAAGCGUUGUCCGGAAUCAUUGGGCGUAAAGCGCGUGUAGGCGGCUUCGUCAGUCCGUUGUGAAAGUCCAGGGCUCAACCCUGGAAUGCCGAUGGAUACUGCGGAGCUAGAGUCCGGAAGAGGCGAGUGGAAUUCCUGGUGUAGCGGUGAAAUGCGCAGAUAUCGGGAAGAACACCCGUGGCGAAGGCGGCUCUCUGGGACGGUACUGACGCUG